rnacentral:rRNA from 1 species
AGCGAACGCUGGCGGCAGGCCUAACACAUGCAAGUCGAACGAAGUCUUCGGACUUAGUGGCGGACGGGUGAGUAACACGUGGGAACGUACCUUUUUGUUCGGAACAACUCAGGGAAACUUGAGCUAAUACCGAAUGUGCCCUUCGGGGGAAAGAUUUAUCGCCAUUAGAGCGGCCCGCGUUAGAUUAGCUAGUUGGUGGGGUAAAGGCCCACCAAGGCUACGAUCUAUAGCUGGUCUGAGAGGAUGAUCAGCCACACUGGGACUGAGACACGGCCCAGACUCCUACGGGAGGCAGCAGUGGGGAAUCUUGCGCAAUGGGCGAAAGCCUGACGCAGCCAUGCCGCGUGAAUGAUGAAGGUCUUAGGAUUGUAAAAUUCUUUCAGUAGGGACGAUAAUGACGGUACCUACAGAAGCAGCCCCGUCUAACUUCGUGCCAGCCGCCGCGGUAACAC